AAAACUUUCAACAACGGAUCUCUUGGUUCUCGCAUCGAUGAAGAACGCAGCGAAAUGCGAUACGUAAUGUGAAUUGCAGAAUUCCGUGAAUCAUCGAAUCUUUGAACGCACAUUGCGCCCUUUGGUAUUCCAGAGGGCAUGCCUGUUUGAGCGUCAU
rnacentral:rRNA from 1 species